UACGUAGGGUGCGAGCGUUGUCCGGAAUUAUUGGGCGUAAAGGGCUCGUAGGCGGUUUGUCGCGUCGGGAGUGAAAACUCAGGGCUUAACCCUGAGCCUGCUUCCGAUACGGGCAGACUAGAGGUAUGCAGGGGGAGAACGGAAUUCCUGGUAUAGCGGUGAAAUGCGCAGAUAUCAGGAGGAACACCGGUGGCGAAGGCGGUUCUCUGGGCAUUACCUGACGCUGAGGAGCGAAAGUGUGGGGAGCGAACAGG
rnacentral:rRNA from 1 species